UCAUAAGUGUAAGUGCUUAAGCAAUAUUAUCUAAUAUUUUCAAAAUAAUUCAUAAACAUUUAAAACAUAGUCCUUGUGAUUUUAAUAGCUAGGAAAAUAAAAAAUAUAUUUUUUCUGUAUGUUAUGAAUGGGUUGCAUCAAAGUCACAUAGCGAAUUGAGAGGGUAGUAGGAUUAAAUUACAGGGUUUGCUGGUUGCUAAGCCAGUCUUAAAAUACUAUUACAAUAGUGUUUCAGUCUAAGAUGAAUAUCAAGAAGUGAAGGUGGGCAGAAGUUAUGCUCAUGUUCUGGUGUAAAGACAUGCAGCUCUGUGCUCACCACAAGAGAUGCUCAGGUUCCCUCUGUUAUCCAAGACCAUGAGUGGGUUCUCUGCUUGACCAGAGUGAGCUACCCUUGGGCACAAGUAGAGAACAAAUUCAGCCAGGGCUGCAUACAGGGGCAGCUCAGCAGUCCAAAAACAAGGUGCAAGGUGUGUUGAUGCUGAAGGACUGUGGUAUUCCCUCUGCACACAGGUAGAUGCACAUAGGUUUGUCUGCAUGGCCAAGGCAGUGGGCUCAGGUAAGAUUAGCACUGAUGGAAGAUGCUUUGGGCUGCCACUCUUUGGAUGGAUUUACUGAGGGAUUUACACAGUGUGGAUGAAUGGGCCUAAGACACUGACAGACAUGUGGGCUCACAGAUUUUGUGCAUCCCCAUCUGGCCCUUAUUUGCACCAGUUGCAUUGUGUAGGUGCCAGGUGCAGGGGGCCACUGAGGCUUUCAGCCGCAGCCCAACCGUAUGUGUGUCCUCAGGUGCAGCACCCAAGCUGACAUGGCACAGUGUGCCUUUUUAUUGUUACACAGCACAGUGGGGAUAACCACACUUGUGCAGGUAAGAAAGCUACAGUGGCCCUGUCAGGUGGGGCAGCCAUUCCUGUCGGUCACCUCCUUAAGUCCCUUUGUGCUGGAGCCAAGUCUGGUUGCAUCAUCUUUGCCAGUGACAAGCCGCACCCACAUGGAAUAUUUUCUGGUGUCAAAGAGAGCUAUCAAGAUCACUUUUGACAUUCAAGAAGGCAGAAAAGUGUUUCAGAAGAAGACCUGGAUGUACUCAAACACUGAGGACAUAUUGGGCCCAACCAUUUGGGGAUUUUUCAGAAAGACUGUUUCAUAAGAACCUUCAAAAUUUGUAAAAUUUAAAAUCGUAAUAAAAACUUUUCUCC
ensembl:lncRNA